ACCACAAACGAUGUGUAAAUGUUAGCAUAGUCAUCAUUAUCGUAACGAUAAGAAAAUUCGGUAAUACUACGUGGAGUAAUAAUGUUGUGUAGGGCUUCAAAUGAACCAGGGCGCUCAGGAAUAGUGACACUCAAGAAUACUUCCUUGUUCAAACCAAGAUCAGCACGCUCAGCAAUAAAUCUAAGGCGAUCAAAGUCCAUAUUGGCACCACUUAAGAUGCAAACCUGAGCAGCAUUGGGAUUUUUAGGCUUGUGUUUAGCGACAUAACGCUUCAUACCAGCAACAGCCAUAGCUCCUGAUGGUUCGACCACUGAACGGGUAUCCAAAAAAACAUCCUUAAUGGCUGCACAAAUCUCAUCUUUGUCAACAAGAACUACAUCGUCAAUAUUCUUGGAGACAAGACGGAAGGUUUCCUCUCCAACAAGUUUCACAGCAGUUCCAUCAGCGAAUAAGCCAACUUCCUUAAGGGUUACCCGCUUUUUGUCCUUCAAAGACUUUUUUAAAGCAUCAGCGUCAAAUGUCUCGACACCAAUGACCUUA